rnacentral:lncRNA from 1 species
UUUCUUCCACGGAAUGUCUCAGAAUCAGAGGUUCCUGCUACUCAUUUUUUUUAAUCUUUCCAUGCCCCUUGGCAGUCAUCAUUCCACCUGACCAUUUGAUUUCUUUCUUUUUUGGUUUUUGGUUCAGGCGUUUCUUGUAUCGUUUUUUCUUUUUUCUUUUUUUUUCUUUUUUGUUUUUGCUUUUUGUUUUGCAGGAUCGACCUCGAUUCCUCUUUCCUUCACAGUAAGCCUCGACAACUUACCGGACAACACUCCACAAGUGCACUGGUU